GACGAACGCUGGCGGCGUGCUUAACGUAUGCAAGUCGAACGGAAAGGCCCUGCUUUUGUGGGGUGCUCGAGUGGCGAACGGGUGAGUAACACGUGAGUAACCUGCCCUUGACUUUGGGAUAACUUCAGGAAACUGGGGCUAAUACCGGAUAGGAGCUCCUGCUGCAUGGUGGGGGUUGGAAAGUUUCGGCGGUUGGGGAUGGACUCGCGGCUUAUCAGCUUGUUGGUGGGGUAGUGGCUUACCAAGGCUUUGACGGGUAGCCGGCCUGAGAGGGUGACCGGCCACAUUGGGACUGAGAUACGGCCCAGACUCCUACGGGAGGCAGCAGUGGGGAAUAUUGCACAAUGGGCGGAAGCCUGAUGCAGCAACGCCGCGUGCGGGAUGACGGCCUUCGGGUUGUAAACCGCUUUCGCCUGUGACGAAGCGUGAGUGACGGUAAUGGGUAAAGAAGCACCGGCUAACUACGUG
rnacentral:rRNA from 1 species